GGCUAACGCUGGCGGCGUGUCUUAGCCAUGCAAGUCGAGCGGACUUAUGGGGUAACUUAUAAGUCAGCGGCGGACGGCGGAGUAACACGUAGCUAACCUACCCUCUGGACGGGGAUAACCUACCGAAAGGUGGGCUAAUACCCGAUGUAGUCAUCCUGUAUAGGGGUGAUGAAAGGUGGGCUUCUGUUUACAAGCUCAUGCUGGAGGAGGGGGCUGCGGCCUAUCAGGUAGUUGGUAGGGUAAUAGCCUACCAAGCCGAUGACGGGUAGCCGGCCUGAGAGGGUGACCGGCCCGAGGGGCACUGAGAUACGGGUCCCACUCCUACGGGAGGCAGCAGGCUAGAAAUUUGGGCAAUGGGGGAAACCCUGACCCAGUGACGCCGCGUGCAGGAAGGAGCCCUUCGGGGUGUAAACUCCUUUUCUCAGGGAAAAGGAUGAUGGUACCUGAGGAAUAAGCCCCGGCUAACUACGUG
rnacentral:rRNA from 1 species